UGUGUGUGUAUGUGUGUGUGUAAAACUUGCUCAUGCACUUGAGCUUGUAUGUGUCUAAUUUUCAAGACUCUUCCCACUGGCCCUUGUCUUGUGUCUGAAGCAUACAGUCUGGGUGAGGGAGAGCUCACCCAACGUCUAAGAAACUGCAGCCCUGAGUGCUGAAAGUGUGGCAAACUCCCACAGCCCCCUGCUGUCCAUUUCCCCGUUCCUAGGAUCAAGCGCAUGGCAGGCAUGAAGGAAUCACAGAUCAGCGCAGAGAUUGAGCUCCUGCCCACCAAUGAUAAGAAGAAAUGGGCUCGGCCCCCCAUUUCCAUGAACUUUGAGGUGCCAUUUGCGCCUUCUGGCCUCAAGGUGCGCUACUUGAAGGUAUUUGAGCCGAAGCUGAACUACAGCGACCACGAUGUCAUCAAAUGGGUGCGCUACAUUGGCCGAAGUGGCAUUUACGAAACCCGCUGCUAGCUGCCCCGCUGCGGCUGGCCCACAUCCUGCCCACCCUUUCCACAGGUCCAAGCACCCCCAGUGACCGCUCACCAGUGUCGUUCCUCCCUCCUGCUCUGCCUCCUUCCCUUCCCAAUAGCCCCUGAGUAUAGGUCUGAACCGGCCACAUCACAGUGGGACUGGUCAGGCAGUCCCUAGCUUCCUGGGAGGGUGGUUUUUGAGGCUUCUGUCUGUCUGUCCUGGCUUAGUGCCAGGCCCUGAGUUUUGUGACCAAAGCCAGGUGGUCCCCUCUUCUCUCUACCCUGUGGCCACACCUCUGCAGUGGGAAGGUUGAAUACCCUUACCUCAGAGCUCCCCCAACGGCCAGUAACGGAUCCCCAGUCAUUAGUCCCUACUCUGCUUUGGGAUAGUAUGAGCUUCGUUUUGUACACGUGUGACUUUGUCCAGUUAUAAACCCAAUAAACUGUAGACUGG
rnacentral:lncRNA from 1 species